GCCUGUUGUGGUGUCGUAUAUUCCAUGCUUUUUUUCUUGUGUUUUUUUUUUUUGAAAACGAAAAGUCUAGAUAAUGUCCCUUAAUUAAACUUUAACUAACAUAAAUAAAGGGUGCAGUGUCGGUGCCACGAGUGGGCCCUGGGGGGCAUGGCCCGUCCACUUGAGUCACUGUGCCUCCUUACUUCUCAAAAUAAUAACGAACUUAAUAAUUUAAAAAAAUGUUUUACAAAUUACUUUUAUUAUACCAUGAAUACUGGUUAAAGAAUAAAGAGUAUAAGUUAAUUAAAAAAAAUAAUAAUUGUACUAACCCAUAAUGCAGUGCUAACAUAGUCAGCCAAUUACAUUCACGCUGCCACUACGUCAGUAACGUAAAUCAGUAGGCUAAAUGGUCAGUGAAAUCGUUAUUCUAAAGUUUGCGAAGUUCGUCUGAAAACAUCUACUAAAACAUUGUUUUAAUUUGCAUUUGAGCGGGAAAAAAAAUUCGCCAUUCGUUGAAGGACCUUUUUCUUCAAAAAUUGAAUUCCUCUCGUCGCCUGCAGCUCUUCUAAAGAGAAAAUGGAGUGAUAAGCCAAACAUUUCUCCAUGGACAGAGCACUGCACCGUGUCAGCACAGUCAAUAUUUACACAUGCAGAAUUCUCCGCUUACAUGUGAUGGGAUGUUCAGUUAUGCCUGACAUUUUCAGCCUGCGAGCUUCGAGGAGAUAGUGGCAGAGCACAUCAAACACACCAAGCAGAUCCUUCAGCACUGUUAGAAAUGUCAAGCACUGAAGGAAAUGAAGACAGCUGCUGUGUUCACAAAUACAGGACUGCUACCCAAAAUGCCCUGAGAGACAGCAAAUUGAGACUCAAAAUGGAGGCAGUGGGCCUGGACUGCUGACUUGGCGGAUAAAAGCUGGCAGAGCAGGCUAAUGGUCUGCAGCGGCCGAGAGAGCAUUUGCAUGGAAAAGCAGCUGUCGUCUCAACAGCCGUUCUGUUCAACCCAAGGUUUGGGAUGUGUCCUGAGGUGCCAUGCAGGCCCAAUGGGAUCAAUUACGCAGGCCCCAGCAUGCACUUCAGCUCUGCAGGGGCAGCCAUCUUCUGACUCCGAUCUGUACUGGACUUCCAGUAGGUCGUCUUCUCGAAUAAAAAAAAAACACCCAUUUUUAACACGUACUAAUAAACCGGUUGUAUGAA